UCAAACUUGGUCAUUUAGAGGAAGUAAAAGUCGUAACAAGGUUUCCGUAGGUGAACCUGCGGAAGGAUCAUUACUGAAUGUAUGGAGGAUGCUUGAUGCGGUCUCAAAAGGACCAGCUCGGCUCUCUAUUAUCCAAACAAACACACUUGUGAACCCCACUGGAGGGCGGAAAACUGGUUUUUUCCGUCUUGCUUUUUACAAACACUAUAUAAUAAUCUUGAACGUUUUUAUUGCGCCGUCAAAGGCCAUUAAUCGAAUAUACAACUUUUAACAACGGAUCUCUUGGCUCUCGCAUCGAUGAAGAACGCAGC
rnacentral:misc_RNA from 1 species